rnacentral:rRNA from 1 species
AGAGUUUGAUCCUGGCUCAGGAUGAACGCUGGCGGCGUGCUUAACACAUGCAAGUCGAACGAACCUUCGGGUUAGUGGCGGACGGGUGAGUAACGCGUGAGAAUCUGCCCUCAGGAGGGGGACAACAGCUGGAAACGGCUGCUAAUACCCCAUAUGCCGAGAGGUGAAAUGAAUUUCGCCUGAGGAUGAGCUCGCGUCUGAUUAGCUAGUUGGUGAGGUAAGAGCUCACCAAGGCAUCGAUCAGUAGCUGGUCUGAGAGGAUGAUCAGCCACACUGGGACUGAGACACGGCCCAGACUCCUACGGGAGGCAGCAGUGGGUAAUUUUCCGCAAUGGGCGAAAGCCUGACGGAGCAACGCCGCGUGAGGGAUGAAGGCCUCUGGGCUGUAAACCUCUUUUCUCAAGGAAGAAGAUCUGACGGUACUUGAGGAAUAAGCCACGGCUAAUUCCGUGCCAGCAGCCGCGGUAAUACGGGAGUGGCAAGCGUUAUCCGGAAUUAUUGGGCGUAAAGCGUCCGCAGGCGGCCCAUCAAGUCUGCUGUUAAAAAGUGGAGCUUAACUCCAUCAUGGCAGUGGAAACUGUUGGGCUAGAGUGUGGUAGGGGCAGAGGGAAUUCCCGGUGUAGCGGUGAAAUGCGUAGAUAUCGGGAAGAACACCAGUGGCGAAGGCGCUCUGCUGGGCCAUAACUGACGCUCAUGGACGAAAGCCAGGGAGCGAAAGGGAUUAGAUACCCCUGUAGUCCUGGCCGUAAACGAUGACACUAGUGUCGGGGGAGUCGACCCCUCCGUGUCGUAGCCAACGCGUUAAGUGUUCCGCCUGGGGAGUACGCACGCAAGUGUGAAACUCAAAGGAAUUGACGGGGGCCCGCACAAGCGGUGGAGUAUGUGGUUUAAUUCGAUGCAACGCGAAGAACCUUACCAGGGUUUGACAUCCUGCGAAUUUCUGGGAAACCGGAAAGUGCCUUCGGGAACGCAGUGACAGGUGGUGCAUGGCUGUCGUCAGCUCGUGUCGUGAGAUGUUGGGUUAAGUCCCGCAACGAGCGCAACCCACGUCUUUAGUUGCCAGCAUUUAGUUGGGCACUCUAGAGAGACCGCCGGUGAUAAACCGGAGGAAGGUGUGGAUGACGUCGAGUCAUCAUGCCCCUUGCAUCCUGGGCUACACACGUACUACAAUGCUACGGACAAAGGGCAGCAAACUCGCGAGAGCUAGCAAAUCCCAUAAACCGUGGCUCAGUUCAGAUCGUAGGCUGCAACUCGCCUACGUGAAGGAGGAAUCGCUAGUAAUCGCAGGUCAGCAUACUGCGGUGAAUACGUUCCCGGGCCUUGUACACACCGCCCGUCACACCAUGRUDARUUGGCCACGCCCGAAGCCGUUACUCCAACCCUUGUGGARRAGACGUCGAAGGUGGGGCUGAUGACUGGGGUGAAGUCGUAACAAGGUAACC